rnacentral:rRNA from 1 species
AUUGAACGCUGGCGGCAGGCCUAACACAUGCAAGUCGAACGAGUGGCGGACGGGUGACUAAUGUCUGGGCAUCUGCCCGAUGGAUGGGGAUCACUACUGGAAACGGUAACUACUACCGCACUGCAUCGGAUGUGCCCAGAUGGGUUUUGCUAGGUGGUGGGGUAAAGGCUCACCUAGGCGACGAACCCUAGCUGGUCUGAGAGGAUGACCAGCCACACUGGAACUGAGACACGGUCCAGACUCCUACGGGAGGCAGCAGUGGGGAAUAUUGCACAAUGGGCGCAAGCCUGAUGCAGCCAUGCCGCGUGUAUGAAGAAGGCCUUCGGGUUGUAAAGUACUUUCAGCGGGGAGGCGUUACCCGCAGAAGAAGCACCGGCUAACUCCGUGCCAGCAGCCGCGGUAAUUC